rnacentral:rRNA from 1 species
UACGUAGGGGGCAAGCGUUGUCCGGAUUUAUUGGGCGUAAAGAGCGUGUAGGCGGUUAGGUAGGUCCGUUGUGAAAACUCGAGGCUCAACCUCGAGACGCCGAUGGAAACCCCCUAACUAGAGUCCGGAAGAGGAGAGUGGAAUUCCUGGUGUAGCGGUGAAAUGCGCAGAUAUCAGGAAGAACACCCGUGGCGAAGGCGGCUCUCUAGGACGGUACUGACGCUGAGACGCGAAAGCGUGGGGAGCGAACAGG